CGGGACGGGUGAGUAACGCGUGGGUAACCUGCCUCAUACAGGGGGAUAACAGUUAGAAAUGACUGCUAAUACCGCAUAAGACCACAGCACCGCAUGGUGCGGGGGUAAAAGCUCCGGUGGUAUGAGAUGGACCCGCGUCUGAUUAGCUAGUUGGUAAGGUAACGGCUUACCAAGGCGACGAUCAGUAGCCGACCUGAGAGGGUGACCGGCCACAUUGGGACUGAGACACGGCCCAA
rnacentral:rRNA from 1 species